GACGAACGCUGGCGGCGUGCUUAACACAUGCAAGUCGAACGGAAAGGCCCUGCUUUUGUGGGGUGCUCGAGUGGCGAACGGGUGAGUAACACGUGAGUAACCUGCCCUUGACUUUGGGAUAACUUCAGGAAACUGGGGCUAAUACCGGAUAGGAGCUCCUGCUGCAUGGUGGGGGUUGGAAAGUUUCGGGGGUUGGGGGUGGACUCGCGGGUUAUCAGCUUGUUGGUGGGGUAGUGGCUUACCAAGGCUUUGGCGGGUAGCCGGCCUGAGAGGGUGACCGGACCCACUGGGGGAUGGAGACAGGCCCGAGACCCACCGGGGAGGAGGAGGGGGAGAAUAUGAGAAAUGGGGGGAAGCCGAAGGAAGGAACGGCCGGGGGGGAUGACGGCCUUCGGGUUGUAAACCGCUUUCGCCUGUGACGAAGCGUGAGUGACGGUGAUGGGUAAAGAAGCACCGGCUAACUAC
rnacentral:rRNA from 1 species